rnacentral:tRNA from 1 species
GCCUGGGUGGCUCAGUCGGUUGGGCGUCUGACUUCGGCUCAGGUCAUGAUCUCACAGUUUGUGAGUUCGAGCCCCGCGUCAGGCU